UUUUGGUUCCGGUUGCCAACGGCACCGAGCCGCUUGAGGCAGUCAUCACCAUUGACGUGCUUCGACGUGCUGGAGCUGAUGUUACCGUUGCUUCCGUCGAGAAUCAUAUUCGUGUUGAUGCUGCGCAUCAGAUCAAGAUUGUUGCGGAUUCUCUCAUUUCCGAUUGCGCGGAUACUGUUUUCGAUCUCAUCGCCCUUCCUGGAGGUAUGCCAGGUGCUACCAGUCUUAGAGAUUGUGAAGUUUUGCAGAACAUAGUGAAGAAGCAAGCUGCAGAUGGUCGACUUUAUGCUGCCAUCUGUGCUUCACCUGCAGUGGUGCUUGGAUCAUGGGGUUUGCUGAAAGGGUUGAAAGCCACAUGCUAUCCAUCAUUUAUGGAGCAACUGGGAUCUACUGCAACUGCUGUUGAAUCCCGAGUACAGAUUGAUGGCCAAGUUGUGACAAGUCGUGGGCCUGGUACUACCUUGGAGUUUGCCGUUGCUCUGGUUGAGCAGUUGUAUGGGAAAGAAAAAGCUGACGAAGUUUCUGGACCUCUGUUGUUGCGUUCCAACCAUGGUCAUGAAUAUACCAUAGCUGAGCACAAUCAAGUAAAGUGGACAUUUGAUGAUGGCCCAAGGAUUCUUGUACCUAUAGCUAAUGGUACUGAGGAAAUGGAGGCUGUUAUGAUCAUCGAUAUAUUACGCCGAGCCGAAGCCA
rnacentral:misc_RNA from 1 species